CCUACGGGUGGCAGCAGUGAGGAAUAUUGGUCAAUGGGCGCGAGCCUGAACCAGCCAAGUAGCGUGAAGGAUGACUGCCCUACGGGUUGUAAACUUCUUUUAUAAAGGAAUAAAGUGAGGCACGUGUGCCUUUUUGUAUGUACUUUAUGAAUAAGGAUCGGCUAACUCCGUGCCAGCAGCCGCGGUAAUACGGAGGAUCCGAGCGUUCUCCGGAUUUAUUGGGUUUAAAGGGAGCGUAGAUGGGGUGUUAAGUCAGGUGUGAAAGCUUGCGGCUCAACCGUAAAAUUGCAAUGGAUACUGGCAGUCUUGAGUACAGUUGAGGUAGGCGGAAUUCGUGGUGUAGCGGUGAAAUGCGUAGAUAUCACGAAGAACUCCGAUUGCGAAGGCAGCUUACUAAACUGCCACUGACAUUGAUGCUCGAAAGUGUGGGUAUCAAACAGGAUUAGAUACCCUAGUAGUC
rnacentral:rRNA from 1 species